AAGCGCACGUAGGCGGUUUGUUAAGUCGGAUGUGAAAUCCCCGCGCUCAACGUGGGAACUGCAUUCGAAACUGGCAAGCUAGAGUCUUGUAGAGGGGGGUGGAAUUCCUGGUGUAGCGGUGAAAUGCGUAGAGAUCUGGAGGAACACCGGUGGCGAAGGCGGCCCCCUGGACAAAGACUGACGCUCAGGUGCGAAAAGCGUGGGGAGCAAACAGGAUUAGAUACCCUGGUAGUCCACGCCGUAAAACGAUGUCGACUUGGGAGGUUGGGCCCUUGAGGCGUGCCUUCCGGAGCUAACGCGUUAAAUCGACCGCCUGGGGAGUACCGGCGCAAGGUUAAAACUCAAAUGAAUUGGCGGGGGCCCGCACAAGCGGUGGAACAUGUGGUUUAAUUUCAUGCCACGCGAAAAACCUUACCUAGUCUUGAAAUCCUAAGAAAUCGCUAGAGAUAGGUUAGUGCCUUCGGGAACUCUGAGACAGGUGCUGCAUGGCUGUCGUCAGCUCGUGUUGUGAAAUGUUGGGUUAAGUCCCGCAACGAGCGCACCCCUUUGUCCUUUUUUUGCCAGCACGUAAUGGGGGGAACUCAAAGGAAGACUGCCGGGUGACAAACCGGAAGGAAAGGUGGGGGAUAACGUCAAGUCAUCAUGGCCCUUACGAGUAGGGGCUACACACUGUGGCUAAAAUGGCGUGAUACAAAAGGGAGCGCAGAACUCGCGAGGGGCAAGCCGAACCCUCAUAAAGUACGAUCGUAUUCCGGAUGGGAGUCGUGCAACUUCGACUCGCGUGAA
rnacentral:rRNA from 1 species